rnacentral:lncRNA from 1 species
AGACGGCUGAUGGCACUCCUUGAAGAUAGACGGGAAGUGGUGCCUGAGGAUGGUAAGUGAUUACCUGAUUGCACAUAUGAAUUCUUAGUGAAAUCAUGAAAGCUGCAUCUAAUAAGUGGAGAACAGGUUCCGGUAUUCUGAUAACUUUCUAUUUCUACAGAGGGAUAUAUGCAACUAGANNNNNNNNNNNNNNNNNNNNNNNNNNNNNNNNNNNNNNNNNNNNNNNNNNNNNCAGAAAAAAAAAAAAAGAACAUGCGCCACGAAGAAAGUGAUUUAUCAACCAUUGCACUCUAAACUGAUGAAUAAUAUAUAUUUAAUUCUCAUUGCUUGCACGGUUUGUAUCUGCAAUUUGUUUUUGGUCAUUGAUCAUAAACUGAAGAAUCGAUUGUUGGCUUACAGAGUUGCCAAAAGUUGGGCCGAUCACAGCAGAUGAUAUAGAAACAGCCUUGAAAAACACCAGGCCAUCUGCUCAUCUCCAUGCCCACCGUUAUGAGAAGUUUAAUGCUGAUUACGGUAGCCAAAUACUCCAAUGAAGGCGCACAUUCUCUGUUGUCAUUCUAAAUUCCUCCAUGUAAUGUUUCUUAGUUCAUGUUCUUGUCGAAUGAUGUUUAGUAUUGUUUCUUUACCAUAAUGAGUCUAGAGCAGAUAAUCAUAUUUCGUGGUUUUGUCGGUUUAUUUUAAGUGAAGCUGGAGAUGCUUUCUGUAGAUUAGCACAUUCAUUGGGAGGUCACUGUACAUUGGAUGUGCAAAUUGAAUUUUACAAGAUUCUUUUUUCCGCUUUGACAUUUGAUGUGAUCCCGACCCCCUUCCGUCAACUUGCGGGGAGUCUGGGAGAAGUUGAAGACUGUUUACUUGCCUAGUUCUUUUUCACCAUGUUUGCUACAGACCCUAUCUGGUGCUUUUCUUUUUCUUAAUAAAAGGGGGUGAAUUUGUAGACGAGGGACUCUUUUCGUUACAGAUUCAUUAUUUUCCUAAGAAAUUUUCAAAGUAUGAUAUAAAAGAAAAUUGUGGGUGAAACUUGGGUAGAAAAGUAUAAGACGUGAUUGAAAUAAGGUUUACCUUAUCAGCUACGAAGCAUCCAAUGCCGCUUGUAGCAUGCCUCAAAAAGUGUCAAAAUUUAAACAUUUUUAAGACGUGAAAUGGAUAAUUUUUUCUUUUAAUUUUUUUUAAAAGAAUGAUUAAAGAGUUAAAUUUUACAAAAAUAUGAACAUGUUAUAUAAUUUGAGUGAUUCCAGAAUAGGAAUGAGUUAGCUAGUUUAUUUUGUAAUGAACUAACCCUUUAUUCCAAUUCCUUUUCCCCUCCUCCCCCUCUAAGGCUACUCCCUUAUUCCCUGUUGACCAUUGGCUUUCCACUGCCCAUUGCCCAAUAUGCCAUCCUUCCUUCUCAUACCGUUCACGGGUUCCUUUCUCACCUAUGAUCGGUAUGUGAUUAGUUUUUGGGUUUAUGUCCUACUAGUAGUGAGCUAGGGUUCAUUGAAGUUGUCUUUCUUUGUCUGUGUCGCACAAUAUUGGUAUUCUAAGAGACAUGUGU